GGAUUUGAUCCUGGUCCAGGAUGAACGCUGGCGGCGUGGAUAAGGCAUGCAAGUCGAACGAAGCAAUUUGCGAUUACAUCAAGAAUUGUUGAGUGGCGAACGAGUUAGUAUUACCUUGGCAUCUACCCCUGAGACGGAAAUAAUCCCGCGAAAGCGGGACUAAUGCCCGAUAGCAUCGUGCCUCACUAUUGUUCAGCACAAAGUCUAAAUUUUAAAUUAUAAAUUUUAAAUCAUUUUUUUAAAAUUUAAAAUUAAAAAUUGAAAAUUUCGUGCCGAGUAGCAGCGAGGCACGAUUAAAGUCGCAAGACACUUAGGGAGGAGCCUCGGUCCUAUCAGCUAGUUGGCGGGGUAAUGGCCCACCAAGGCUAUGACGGGUAGGGGACGUGAGAGCGUGACCCCCAACGACGGAACUGAGAUUAACGAUAGUCUCCUAAGAGAGUAAUCUCUUAGUAAAAUCUAGCUUAUAACGGUGAAAUCUCUGCGUGUGGAUAAUUUAUAUUCACAAGUUUUGGGGGUUGUACUACAAUACCCAAUAUGGAGACAACGCCGUGGGAAGUUAAUAGCAAAAAUGUUUCUGACCAGUAUAUCGCAGGAUUUUUGGAUGGCGAUGGGUCUAUUGUGGCGGCAAUUGAAAAACGUCCCGAUAGACGGCGCUUUCCUUAUCGCGUGCGAUUAAAGAUAAAUUUUACCCAACAUAUUCGACAUAAAAAUAUGAUGUUUCUUCUUCAGGAAGCAUUGGGUAAAGUCGGAUCUGUCAGAUUUAUUCGAACUCAUAAUCUUGCCGAAUUGGUCAUUCAAAAGCGGCAGGAUGUUAAACAUACUCUUGAACGCUUACUGCCGUACCUGAUUCUUAAACAGAGGCAGGCAAAAAUUAUGCUUGCUAUGAUUGAAAUAUUUGACCACGGAGUGGUCAAAGUUCGCAGUUCUCUUUCGGAUAAAGACUUUGAGAAAUUAUUCUCAAUGGCAAAAGAACUGCGAAAUCUUAAUGCAGGCGCAGGAGGCAAAAAGAACUAUGAGUUCAUUAACCCCGUAACGACUCAUUCCGAGUUUACUCGGAAUGGAUAGCCAGGAUUUAUCUUGGUUAUAACACGCUAGCCCCCUUGUACGAUCAAACGAGGGGUGAAGACAUAGUCUAUACCACAAGUGAUUGUGGACAAAUAUGACGGUCCGUACACCUACGGGUGGCUGCAGUCAAGAACAUUCGACAAUGGGCGAAAGCCUGAUCGAGCGACGCCGCGUGCAGGAUGAAGGCCUUCGGGUCGUAAACUGCUUUUAACUGGGAACAAGUCCGGCCCUUUCGGGAUGGAAUUUUUUGAGUGAAAAUUUUCUUUUUCGAGAGGGCCGGAUUGAGCGUACCAGUGGAAUAAGGAGCUGCAAACUUCGUGCCAGCAGCCGCGGUAAUACGAAGGCUCCAAGCGUUAUCC
rnacentral:ncRNA from 1 species